rnacentral:lncRNA from 1 species
UAAUAUUAGUUUAGAAUUCAUAUGUUGCAAGGGUAGAUCAAAGAGUAUCAUAACCAAUAUACUUACAAUGUUCAAAGCAACCCCAAACUAAUUAUUGACAAAAACAAAUUUAGAAGAGAGUCAAAGAAUUUCAAGAAAAAGUAACCCACAUAUAAAACAUCCAAAAUAAAAUUUCAAGCAACAUCAAAUAAAAAGAUGCCUGCGCAUAUGCGCGGGCUACCACCUUUCUAGUUUUGUAAAAAAAGUUAGACAAGAUUUAUCCGUAGAUACCACUCUAGAGCAAUGGUGUCGGGAUCGUGAUUCGUGAACCGUGUGGACUGGGGUUUGCAUCCUGUUCCGUAUACACCAGUUCCGUAUACACCAGAUGUUUUUUCCUGAUGAUCACAUCCCCACUUGCCUGCAUCGCUUUUGUGGCCUCUCCAUAGAAUGGUUAAUUCACUGUAAAAAAUGAUUUUUUAUGACAUCACCCUUUUAUUUUUACCGGCGGCCAUGACAAAACACCGCUUGUAAAAUUGAAUGGAAAGAUUCAAAGUCACGAACCUCCAGCGAACGGCCUCUUAAUAAGCCAGCAAAUAGUAAUAUUUUUAUAAGCGAACCUCUUAAGAAGCUACCAGCGAAAAUCCAUUGUUUACAAGCGGACUUCUUAAGAGGCCGUGAGCAAAAACCAAUUUUCGAUGUCGGCUGCUAAGAGGUCCACCAGAAAAAAAAAAGAAAAAAAAAUCAUCAUCGCACUAAAAAAUAAUUGAACACAAUAAAAACCACCACCUACCGUGCCACCUUGCCACCACUGCUUUCCCUCCUCCUCAUCCUCAUCUUCAUCUCUAGACCUCAUCUUCUCCAGCCACCACCGCCUCCCUUCCCACCGGUGG